AUUUCUUGUGUGACCGCGUACUUUUUGUAGAACGGGCCAACGAGUUACGUUAAGUAGCAAGGUUAAGCACUUAAGGUGCGGAGCCGUAGCGAAAGCGAGUUUUAACUGAGCGUUCAGUUACUUGACGUAGACCCGAAACCGGGCGACCUACCCAUGAGCAGGAUGAAGCGAAAGUAAAAUUUCGUGGAGGUCCGAACCCACGAGCGUUGAAAAGCUCGGGGAUGACUUGUGGGUAGCGGUGAAAUUCCAAUCGAGCCCGGAGAUAGCUGGUUCUCCCCGAAAUAGCUUUAGGGCUAGCCUCAAGGUGAGAGAUACGGAGGUAGAGCACUGAAUGUCCUAGGGGGUAUUGCACCUACCGAAGACUAUCAAACUCCGAAUGCCGUCAUCUUAUACUUGGGAGUCAGACUGUGGGUGAUAAGAUUCAUAGUCGAAAGGGCAACAGCCCAGAUCGUCAGCUAAGGUCCCUAAAUGUAAGUUAAGUGGUAAAGGAUGUGGGAUUGCACAGACAACCAGGAUGUUGGCUUAGAAGCAGCCACUCAUUCAAAGAGUGCGUAAUAGCUCACUGGUCGAGUGAUCCUGCGCCGAAGAUUUCCGGGGCUAAAACUUACUACCGAAGCUACGGCAUCAGUAAUGAUGGGUAGGGGAGCUUCCCAUACGGGUUGAAGCAUGACCGUAAGGACAUGUGGACAGUAUGGGAGUGAGAAUGUUGGCAUGAGUAGCGAGAUGUGGGUGAGAAUCCCACAGGCCGUAAACCCAAGGUUUCCAGGGGAAGGUUCGUCCGCCCUGGGUUAGUCGGGACCUAAGCUGAGGCCGAAAGGCGUAGGUGAUGGACAACAGGUUGAUAUUCCUGUACUACCGAUAACCGUUUGAGAGAAGGGAUGACACAGUAGGAUAAGCUAAGCACACUGUUGGUUAUGUGUGCCCAAGCAUUGAGGCAGUCAAAGUAGGCAAAUCCGCUUUGAUAAUGCUGGGAUGUGAUGGGGAGCGAAAUUUAGUAGCGAAGUAGCUGAUUUCACACUGUCAAGAAAAGUCUCUAUCGAGGUUAAAGGUACCCGUACCGCAAACCGACACAGGUGGGUGAGGAGAGUAUCCUAAGGCCAGCGAGAGAACUGUUGUUAAGGAACUCGGCAAAAUGACCCCGUAACUUAGGGAUAAGGGGUGCCACCAUCAGGUGGCCGCAGAGAAUAGGCCCAAGCGACUGUUUACCAAAAACAUAGGUUUCUGCUAAGUCGCAAGACGAUGUAUAGGAGCUGACGCCUGCCCGGUGCUGGAAGGUUAAGGGGAUCUGUUAGAGCAAUCGAAGCAGUGAACUUAAGCCCCAGUAAACGGCGGCCGUAACUAUAACGGUCCUAAGGUAGCGAAAUUCCUUGUCGGGUAAGUUCCGACCCGCACGAAAGGCGUAACGAUUUGGGCACUGUCUCAACAACAGACUCGGUGAAAUUGUAAUUCCGGUGAAGAUGCCGGAUACCUGCGACAGGACGGAAAGACCCCAUGGAGCUUUACUGUAGCUUGACAUUGGGUCUUGGUACUACAUGUACAGGAUAGGUGGGAGGCUUUGAAACCAGGACGCCAGUUUUGGCGGAGCCAUCCUUGGGAUACCACCCUUGUAGUACUGGGACUCUAACCAUAGGCCAUGAAUCUGGUCUUGGGACACUGUCAGGUGGGCAGUUUGACUGGGGCGGUCGCCUCCC
rnacentral:rRNA from 1 species